GAAUCCUACAGUGAAUGGAAACAGAAAAAAGUCGGAACUAAGUAUAUGUAAGAAGCCAUACAAUUGCUUUUAAAUUUCAUAACUGAUUCUAAACUGUGUGUCAGGAGAAUCUCUGCUUCAUUUUUUUUACCAUACGUACAGCCUACAUUUACCAACUCAUAAAAAUACCUUAAAAAUACCCAUCCCAUACCAGUACUCUUUGUCUAUUUAAGGUCAUUCUUUUUUUAGCCUGUCUGUUACUUUUAACAACUGAUUUCAAAAUAUAUUUAGAAAAACGUUUUUAACCUGCACAGACUUCCUCUGACAAAAAUACAAAAUGUCACUUGACAAUAGUUUAAAUUUGUUUAUAAUGUAACAUGGUACUGUUUACAGUUCAACAGGGAACUGUAAAGAACAAAAAGUUACGUUAAAAAAAUAUAUUUUACGUUAUACUACGGAGCCCCUAAGGGGACACGGAGGCAAAUGAACAUUUUGUCGCUCACCUGAAACUUAAAAGUAUUUUUUACUUAUUUAUUCCCCCCUCCCCCAUGUCCCUUUAGGCGAUCCGUAUUUUUACGAAGCUGUUUUGCAGAGGUUAAAGUUGAAAGUGUAGUCGGUUUAAAUGUUUCUACUUGUUUCUGUGUGUGGAGAAGGUCACGGCUGAACAAAGGUGGGAAAUUAUAAAACUUAAAACAGCUUUGUGUCUUUUUCGGGGCCUCAGGUUCUGGACACAAAUCACAAGCCCACCCUGGACCACCAGUGGACAUCAUCCAUUCAGCCUCACAUUUAUAACAGUGGUUAGCACAGCAGCUCACAUCCGUCCAGGCCAGGAGAGGAGCUGUUGCAUGUUCUCCCGGAGGUUCCCAAAGUGCCAGUUUUGCCAUUGUAGGAGCAGAAGUUUGGUGAUUUCUCAUAAUAGACCAGGUCCAUGGCAGA